rnacentral:rRNA from 1 species
UACGGAGGGAGCUAGCGUUGUUCGGAAUUACUGGGCGUAAAGGGCAAGCAGGCGGACUGUUAAGUAGGAAGUGAAAGGUCGGAGCUCAGCUCCAACAUUGCUUCCUAUACUGGCAGUCUUGAGUCUCGGAGAGGAAAGCGGAACGAUACGUGUAGCGGUGAAAUGCGUUGAUAUGUAUCGGAACACCAAUGGCGAAGGCAGCUUUCUGGACGAGAACUGACGCUCAUUUGCGAAAGCCGAGGUAGCGAACAGG